rnacentral:rRNA from 1 species
GACGAACGCUGGCGGCGUGCCUAAUACAUGCAAGUCGAACGCUUCUUUCCUCCCGAGUGCUUGCACUCAAUUGGAAAGAGGAGUGGCGGACGGGUGAGUAACACGUGGGUAACCUACCCAUCAGAGGGGGAUAACACUUGGUAACAGGUGCUAAUACCGCAUAACAGUUUAUGCCGCAUGGCAUAAGAGUGUAAGGCGCUUUCGGGUGUCGUUGAUGGAUGGACCCGCGGUGCAUUAGCUAGUUGGUGAGGUAACGGCUCACCAAGGCCACGAUGCAUAGCCGACCUGAGAGGGUGAUCGGCCACACUGGGACUGAGACACGGCCCAGACUCCUACGGGAGGCAGCAGUAGGGAAUCUUCGGCAAUGGACGAAAGUCUGACCGAGCAACGCCGCGUGAGUGAAGAAGGUUUUCGGAUCGUAAAACUCUGUUGUUAGAGAAGAACAAGGACGUUAGUAACUGAACGUCCCCUGACGGUAUCUAACCAGAAAGCCACGGCUAACUACGUG